UGGGGAAUUUUGGACAAUGGGCGAAAGCAUGAUCCAGCAAUGCCGCGUGUGUGAAGAAGGCCUUCGGGUUGUAAAGCACUUUUGUCCGGAAAGAAAUGGCUCUGGUUAAUACCUGGGGUGGAUGACUGUACCGGAAGAAUAAGGACCGGCUAACUACGCGCCAGCAGCCGCGGUAAUACGUCGGGUUUAAGCGUUAAUCGGAAUUACUGAGCGUAAAGCGUGCGCAGGCGGUUGUGCAAGACCGAUGUGAAAUCACCGAGAUUAACUUGGGAAUUGCAUUGGUGACUGUACGGCUAUAUUGUGUCAAAUGGGGGUAGAAUUCCACGUUUAGCAGUGAAGUGCGUAGAGAUGUGGAGAAAUACCGGUGGCGAAAGCAGCCCCCUUGGAUAACACUGACGCUCAUGCACGAAAGCGUGGGUAGCAAACAGG
rnacentral:rRNA from 1 species